rnacentral:rRNA from 1 species
AGUGAACGCUGGCGGUAGGCCUAACACAUGCAAGUCGAACGGCAGCACAGGAGAGCUUGCUCUCUGGGUGGCGAGUGGCGGACGGGUGAGGAAUACAUCGGAAUCUACUCUGUCGUGAGGGAUAACGUAGGGAAACUUACGCUAAUACCGCAUACGACCUACGGGUGAAAGCAGGGGACCUUCGGGCCUUGCGCGAUUGAAUGAGCCGAUGUCGGAUUAGCGAGUUGGCGGGGUAAAGGCCCACCAAGGCGACGAUCCGUAGCUGGUCUGAGAGGAUGAUCAGCCACACUGGAACUGAGACACGGUCCAGACUCCUACGGGAGGCAGCAGUGGGAAUAUUGGACAAUGGGCGCAAGCCUGAUCCAGCCAUACCGCGUGGGUGAAGAAGGCCUUCGGGUUGUAAAGCCCUUUUGUUGGGAAAGAAAUCCAGCUGGCUAAUACCCGGUUGGGAUGACGGUACCCAAAGAAUAAGCACCGGCUAACUUCGUGCCAGCCGCCGCGGUAA